rnacentral:rRNA from 1 species
UACGUAGGGGGCAAGCGUUGUCCGGAAUUAUUGGGCGUAAAGAGCGUGUAGGCGGUUUGGUAGGUCCGCUGUGAAAACUCGAGGCUCAACCUCGAGACGCCGGUGGAAACCAUCAGGCUAGAGUCCGGAAGAGGAGAGUGGAAUUCCGGGUGGAGUGGUGAAAUGCGUAGAGAUCCGGAGGAACACCGAAGGCGAAGGCAGUGUCCUGGCGAGUGACUGACGCUGAGGUGCGAAAGCCAGGGGAGCGAACGGG